CUGAGUUGAAAACUCCAACCCCUGUGAACAUAACCUCUGUCGUUGCUUCGGCGGGCCAGCCCGCCGGAGGUUCCAAACUCUUUUUUAUCUUCAGUAUCUCUGAGCCUAAAAGACAAAAUGAUCA
rnacentral:misc_RNA from 1 species